UUUUUUCUUUUUUUUUUUUUUUUUUUUUAAUAGAAACUCAUUUUUAUUUAUGAUUCAACCUCAGAAAUAGAGGUGAAAUUUGAAGGGAUUAAAAAAAAAAUAAUAAUAAAACCAAAACCACCUCUCUGGCUCCCACAAAUCCUUCUUACAGGUCCCUCAGGCUUUGCUAGGACGUAGUUAUAAGCAAAAAAUGACUCUGCAAAAAACAGCCCUUUGGUAAAAACCAGCUCUUGCACAAUUUGUAUAUUUUGGAAGCCAUAUUUGACCAUUUUACUGGCUAAGGAUACCCAAAACCAGACUCUGAGAUCCAAAUCCUCUGUGCAUGGGGAGGAGGGGGAAGAGGGCAAGCUGAAUGUUUAAAAUCAAACCAGUGAAGGCGAAAUGUCUUCUUCUAGAAAUAGAGUCCUGAAAUAACUGCCACCCUUUUCACUGUCAAACUAAUAGAGAAUAAUUGAAUACAAUUAGUAAAUCAUGGGUAAAAAUGUAAAUGAGGCAGCAAACCAGCUAAUGAAUGACCACCCUGGACCAUAGCACCAGGGACUGAGUUGGCAAAUAACAGCAGAGAGGAAGCUUAGACCGGGGUCAGCUCCCACUAAUACUGAGCCUAGAAAAUCAAGGAUGUGGUUGGUGAUCCUCCUUGGCCCCUGCAGCCAGUACAGAUUCCUGUGGGGUGCAAAGAGACAAGGAAAUGUUUAAUUUCCUCCAUUUAUAGCCCACUGUGGCACCUUUGUUACAUAAGGCACUUGCAGCCUUCUCACAGGAGAGCUUUGUUUGUUGUUUUACAGUCUCUGUGUGACUGCAGAGAGGACUCAGAGUCUGGGCUAGGACAGGAAAAGUGCUGCCACUCUAAUACAUCUGCCUGCAUUAAAGUCUUUCAAUUCCAGCUCUUUUUUAGCACCUCAAAAGUGUAAGUGAUAAAUAUCAGAGGAACUGCCCGUAUUUCUGUAUUGAUAAAAGAGGGGGAAAAGGAGAAAUGUCACAAGAGACAAGCAUGACAUGACCCACUCUGGAGCCUUAUGGCAUCAGCAUUUGGGGAUGUCCCCUCUGGUCUGUAUCUCACCCCAAAAGGUUUCUCUGGGCUUCUGGCUGAUGAGUUUGACCCAGCAGAGCACUGUUUUUCUCCUUUUAUCCACUUUGUCUCAGGAAGCAUGGAAAUCACCCUUGCUUUAUGGUGUAACAUUGGAAGUGUUCUGCUCAUACCUAACCACGGUCAUAAUUCCAUCUUGAUCCUGUCUCUGGCACUUAUCCAGAGCAUUUCUAACUGAACCCUACCAGUAAAAGCCAAUCCUGAUCAAGACAUGGCAAACCAGAUCCUCGAACAGCUUGGAAAGUCCUCUGGUUACAUUGGUGGGUAUUUUUCAAUGUCAGAACACCCACGAGUAUUGCAAGGCCCAAAAAAACCACAGGAUAAACCAGAGCCUGGAGAUGGGAGGCAUCUCCCUCCCGGUGGCUCAGCACACUCGAGGACACAGCUUAGGGCGUGAGGAGCUGCUGUGGUUUCUCGCCAGGCUCAAACCCUCACACGGUUUUUCUGCAAACACACCUUGAGGUUCCCCUGUGACCAACUGGAAGUUGAUAAAACAACCGUGGAUUAACAAGGGAAAGGGUCAACUCCCAGGCACCCCAGCCCCUGUCACAGCUCACUGGUGCAAAUCCCAGUUAAGCUAAAGAAAACUAAAACCUGCGUUCACACAAGUCCACUCUGAUUUCUGUGUACACUUCAGGGCCCUGCCAUUUCUGCUCCCAAGUUCACACCCAAACAGGAAAGGGACAAUCUUGUGCUUCAGGUGUGACUGAAAUCUCACUCAACUCCCCAUGCUCAUGAGAAUUCAAGGCUGGAUCUCGCUGAACAGCUGACCUGACUUCAGUCCUGCCACAUGAGGCCAAACCCUAACAGAAACCACCUGUGGUAUUUCAAUAACAUUAAAUCCAAGCUGAAUUCAGCCUUGUACCUGACUCGCAUCCAGCAUCGAUUUCUUUGGCCCACUUCAAGUCUCUUGCUGUCAACACUCCAGGGCUGAGAGUCAUGGAAGAAUGAGCUGCAUUCUGUUAAACCUCAUGGCCAGUGCUGCCAGCUGAAGCGUUCUCCCUGCUCCCCAUGCUGAGGAUGGGGUAUGAAACAGAACAGUUUGUUUUCCAAAUCUGAUGCAAGGCUCCAGUUAUUCAGCUUGCAGCUCUGACUGCGAGAGGGUUUAGCCAGCUCUGACAACAUAUGGAUGUGGUCCACGGUGCUGGCUGUUUCCUAUAGGAUCUGGAAAGCUCUAAGGCAUGACUCUGUCUUUCUGCUGCACUUGGAAUUUGCUGUGAUGAGCAGGAGGAGGAAUUCCUGGGAAAGGCCAGGACCUAUCCAAGGAUGGUCCCAGAUGCUGCCUCUGCACACACCAGCUCGUGAGUGCAAUAUUCUGAGGUUUGUGUGUUCAGCCAGCACCUGGCUGGCUGCAAACUGACCUCUGCUAGUGACAGAGCAGGAAAUCUCUUAUAUUGUUAUCUCUUUUGGCCUUAUUUAUAGAAUUCUUGUUGAUGCCUCAGCUGCAGACCUUGUGCCACCACAGACCUGCCCAAGGGGAAGAUGUGUGGGGAUGUUUUAACCACAUCAGCAUCGAGCUGCAGCCCCACCAGGCCUUACUGAUCAUGGAAUUCCAGCAGCAAACAUUUUAACAGCCCACUGAUUCCCUGUUUAAAUACAUCCUCUUUACAGCCCAGUCUUCCCCCAAGUCCUGCAAAGCUGGCAGAUUUCUUGAGGCAAAGUGACAUCUAAGAUCAUCUAAGACAUCAAAGAUGUCUUGGCAUCUCCAGACUUUGGUUCUCCAGCAGCACCAGGUCCUGCCAACAUCAUGAGGUGACCAAAAAAUGAGGAUUUGACUGUAUGGCUUUCACCUCAUCCAUUUAAGUUUACAAACAAGCAGAAAUGCAAACAUUAGCCAGAAUUCUUUAUGAUACGAACAGGGAUCUGGCAUCUGCCACUCCAUCACCUAUUUCUGUCACAGGAGGUUUCCUUGUCUCUAUUUGCCAUCAGCACAGAGGAAUUUGCUUCACUUAUUUGUAUGAAUGUGCCAAAUAAAGUAAAUGUAGUUAUCCUCACAUGUCAAAAUGAGGGAGGGCCACCAGAGAUUCUGAGGACAGGGCAGCAACUCCAUCCUUGCACAGGAAAUAUCCACUGAAAUUAAGAUAAUAAGAGCAAGAACAUUAAUAGAAAAUCAAAGGAGAACAUACUGCAUUUUCCCCUCAAAGGCCUAAUACCACAACCAUUAAAUCAGUAUCAAAAUUUCCACUGUAUUUAGAAAACAAUUUAAAUAUCUCUGGACAAAAUACAUUCUGUACAAAAUGUCAUUUGUGUCGAAAGAAUGUUUGGACAAGGAACCAGUGACUGUUAUUAUUGGCAAUAUCAGAGAAACAAGGCCCCAGCUGUCCUUUCCUAGAAGGGUUAAACUUCUAUUAUGAAACAAGAAAACAAUCUCUGUAAGGAAAAAUUUUCCAGCCAAUGCCCAUCCAAAACUCCAGGUCAGCAGCAAAUACAUCCAAAUACACAAUAAGGUCAUACGAAGAAAUUCAGAGAACAGCCCUCUUUGUCUAGAAUAUUAAGUACUGGAACAAAUAACAGCAACAUCCUCAUGAGUUGUUCACAUUUUUCCCAGCACAGCUCUUCCAUGCUGAGGGCUGCUUUCUUUUUCCUAUCACUCUGUGUGGAUUUUUCUCUCUCGUCAUUUGUCUCCCCUGGAUUCCAAGUAAAGCAAGGAGCGUGUCUUCUCCUGGAGUCACCUAUGAGACUGCAGAUCCCUGGAGCUGGCCCAACCAGAACCCUUUUUUGUGUAUUUGUUCAUUUGUGGUCUCUUUUAAAUGAAUAAAACACUCCAAUAACCCUCAUUCCUCUUCUUGCUAUCCUACCUUUUCCCACCAGGUCCCUUCUUCUCUGCUGUUCCUCAGUCCUUUCCUUCUCAGAACAUUUCUCACCCCAAGAUUUUCAGCAGUGAUUGCUACAAUUUCUUACCCAACCCCAAUCCAAACACUUCUCUUUAUGCUGCAUAAUUAUUUCUCACAAAUAGUGUCUCCAGGUUGGGACCUUGCAGAUGGGGAAAAUCAUGCAAACAAUUACUAUUGUUUUUGCAAUAGUAAUUUUAGGUGGAGGGGUCCCCAGAGCUCCUCAGGUUUUUAACAAAUGAUUUAUAUAUUGCAUAGCAAGAUAAAGGGGGGAAAUGGAACUCCAAAAGACUGUAUGCACAGAAUUUCUUAACUGAUCUUCUCUGAUCCUGCUUGAAGUGGCAUAAAUAUAAAGGAGAGUCAGAACCUAUUGAGCCACGGUCUGUUUACCCAAUCCCCACAUUAUACAAGAUGUGAGCUCUAAAGAAUUCCUUCUGUUCUCUGUCCUCUUAAUUUCCACUUUUUGGGCAACUUUUCAACCAAAAGAUCAAGCACUAUCUGCUUUCAAAGUGCCCCUAAUGAGGUAAUUACUGGGAGCAUAAAAUACACCCAUUUAUUGUAACUGAAGCCACCGCAGGCUGGGGCCAGGCAGUGCUCAGAGUUCGCUCCCCUGGCAGCUCAGAGAUGUCCUGCCCCGUUCAAAUCUUUUUUUCUGUAAAGGAGUAAGACAUCUCCAGUGCCCAUCGUGAUGGAAUUACCCUGCUGACCCCUUCUUGAACAAACUUUGCAAACCACGAGCACCCACAUCUGAGCAGAGACCGAGAUUAAACACGGUUGUUUGCAGAACUUUUUCCUGCAGAAGUGCUCGAAGUUCUUUUCCAAAAAGCCUCCCUCCCAUCCCACAGACAUCCUGUGCUGGGUCAGGAGCUCACCACCGGCCAUGGCUCAAGCCAUGCCAGGGACAGGAGGAACUUUUUGUUCCUCCAGCAGCUCCUGGGAGCCAGACCUCCCAUUGCUCCCCACGGCCACGGCUCCAACCUGCCAUUCCUGGGGUCAAUCCUCUAAAUCUCCUCACACCCUUCAUUUUGGGUCUUGGCCGAGGGAGAUUAUCCAGAAAAGUGCUUUCCUAAGAACUGCCCAGCUCCUGUGCAUGAGGGUGGGGGUCUCUGCCACUGACUGGGAGUAGAACUGGGCAAAAUCCUUCAGGGGAAGGAAAAGAAAACCAGCAACAGCAGGUUGGCUGGAUGUAAAUUCCCUCCAGCGCCUGAAGGAACUGCAGGAAAGAUGGAGAGAGACAAUUUAUAAGAGCCUAGAGUGAGAGGACAAGGCUCCAAAGUGAAAAUAAAUAGGUUUAGAUUGGAUAUUGGGAAGAAAUUCUUUCUUGGGAGGGUGGGCAGGCCCUGGCACAGGAUGCCCAGAGAAGCUGUGGCUGCCCCUGGAUCCAUGGAAGUGCCCAAGGCCAGGCUGGACAGAAGCCUGGGAUAGUGGAAGGUGUCCCUGCUCAUGGAGUAGAACAAGAUGAUCUUUAAGGUCACUUCCCACCAGGCCGUUCCAUGGUUCUACAUUAAUUCUAGCAAAUUGUCUCAAUUGAAAAAGACACAUCCCAAAGUGGGGAAAAAAAAAAAAAAAAAAAAAAAAAAAAAAAGGAAAAAAAAAACCAACCAAGAAAAAAAUCAAACCAAGCCAAACUAAAAACCCCCACAACCAAACCUGUGAGUUAAAUAUCUUUUUUUUAAACUUGAUUUCAGUCCCAAGUUAGUUCAGAUUUUUUUAUCCUGCCUGCUUAAUUUAAAAUCAAGGCCUUUCUUCUGAAUUUUCAGAUCAGCUAAGCAAAGUUGAAAAAUUUAUCAGAAGUACAAGUCUGGUUGUGAAUUAUCAGAUAUUCUUGUUUGAAAGACUUGUGCAAUUAUUUCGACAUUUUAUUUUCACCUAGAAUUUCAGUUCCCAGAGGAAGGGAAAGUUGAGAUUUCAGUUCAUUCACAUCCCCAGGAGCCAACCUAAAGCUGUGGAAGCGAGUGUCCUUAAAUGAUUUCUUGCUAUUCUACAGUCACAAUUAGCUCAGAUCGCAAUGUCGACUUUGCUUGGGCUCAGCUUCAAGACUAACAUUAAACUCUACUGCUGCAUAAUCCUGUGGCUGAUACCUUAGUCAUAAUGUGAGCUAAUAGGUCAACCUUGGCUUUUGGUAAGUCAUAAAAUGGAAAAAAAAAAAAACAGUUAUGAGAGCUUUAGAAUUCUUACUAGACAGCACACAGUAACUCUUGUUCCUGAGUCAUCCUGCAAAAGCUUUUUAUAAUAUCUUGCAUUUGCUCUCCCAGCAAGCGAUUACACUUCUGUGCUCUUCCCCAGCCGUGCAAAGCAGCUCUUUGAGGCUCGGAGUGCCAGGAGGGAUGGAUGUGCUGCAGGGAGCACUCCCACGGGCAGCACGUGCCAGGACUGCAAAUCCUGCAGGAGAAUCUGCAGCGAGCCCAGCGCAGGGAAUGCCACCACGUGCUGCAUUCUGCGCUGGGCUGCAGGCAGGGAUGCUGCUGACCUUGGAGGGGAAAUGCACCGCUGCCAUCAGGGAUGGGGCUCAAAGAGCACUCCCAAAGCUCUGUGCUCGCAGCCCAGGGGCAAACAGAACCAGCUCCUGCCCAAAGGACAGGACCCUUCAGAGCCACCUCACUCACAGGAACACCCAGGCUGUGCCAGGCUGGUCUCUUCAAGCUCCUCUUGGAAAUGGGACUCAAUCCCUAAGAGGAGUACUUCCCUUCCCAGGGUGCCUGGCUGCUACCAAAAGAAACAACUGGGUGUAGAUCUUUAGUAUUAGGAGCAGAAGGCUGACCUUUUCUUGAGUCAUUUUUUAUCCCUUUUCUGUAUGGAUUGAAAAGAUUAAGUAUUUUUAAAGAUAAUAUAAAAUGACCCAGCAGAAAGCCAGGCACUCACGUGGCAGCAAGAUUGGUGGAAGACAUCCUGUGCUUUUGGACUGCAUCAGCUCAACGCUGCUCCUUCAGCUUUUCCCUGGUGGUCACUCUGGAAAAAAAAAGGUUGGGAGAUUCCCUGCUCCACCUGGGGCACAUCCCACAACAAAUCUGGCAAACACCUGCCCCAGGAAGGAGGAAUCAAUCAGUGUCUUGCAGAGAAGGAACCUUGGAAGAUCCAGUAUUGCACAUUUUGAGUGCUGUCCAAAUUCCAGACGUGUCCUUGCUCCCUGUUAUGCUGCUGGUCCUGAGCAUUCCUGCAGUGGGGGUUCACAGGGUAAUUGCCAUCCUCCUUACCAGUAACUCAGUCUGUGGGGCACAGAGGGAGCUGCUAACUGAACCAGAGUCACCAUUAUUCAGUAUUUCCUGUUCUCUCACUAAAAAAAAAAA
rnacentral:lncRNA from 1 species